GACGAACGCUGGCGGCGUGCUUAACACAUGCAAGUCGAACGGAAAGGCCCCCUUGUGGGGUACUCGAGUGGCGAACGGGUGAGUAACACGUGAGUAACCUACCCUUGACUUUGGGAUAACUUCAGGAAACUGGGGCUAAUACCGGAUAGGAGCUCCUGCUGCAUGGUGGGGGUUGGAAAGUUUCGGCGGUUGGGGAUGGACUCGCGGCUUAUCAGCUUGUUGGUGGGGUAGUGGCUCACCAAGGCUUUGACGGGUAGCCGGCCUGAGAGGGUGACCGGCCACAUUGGGACUGAGAUACGGCCCAGACUCCUACGGGAGGCAGCAGUGGGGAAUAUUGUACAAUGGGCGGAAGCCUGAUGCAGCAACGCCGCGUGCGGGAUGACGGCCUUCGGGUUGUAAACCGCUUUCGCCUGUGACGAAGCGUGAGUGACGGUAAUGGGUAAAGAAGCACCGGCUAACUACGUG
rnacentral:rRNA from 1 species